rnacentral:tRNA from 1 species
GGGGAUUUAGUUCAGUGGUUAAGUGCCCUUGAGUUCAAUCCCUGGUAUCAAAAAUAAAUAAAUAAAUGAUUAAAAAAAUUAAAAAUAAUAAGGGUUGAAUAUGUAGCUCAGUGGUCAAGUGACCCUGGGUUCAAUACCCAAUAGCACCA